rnacentral:rRNA from 1 species
CUAUGCGCCUUGCCAGCCCGCUCAGGUGUGCCAGCAGCCGCGGUAAUACGUAGGGGGCAAGCGUUAUCCGGAUUCACUGGGUGUAAAGGGAGCGCAGGCGGUACGGCGAGUCUGAUGUGAAAACCCGGGGCCCAACCCCGGGACCGCACCGGAUACUGCCGGACUCGAGUGCCGGAGGGGCAGGCGGAAUUCCUGGUGUAGCGGUGAAAUGCGCAGAUAUCAGGAGGAACACCGGUGGCGAAGGCGGCCUGCUGGACGGUAACUGACGCUGAGGCUCGAAAGCGUGGGGAGCGAACAGG